CUACGGGAUGCUGCAGUGGGGAAUAUUGGACAAUGGGGGAAACCCUGAUCCAGCAAUGCCGCGUGUGUGAAGAAGGCCUGCGGGUUGUAAAGCACUUUCGGUUGGGAGGACUGCUUCUAGCACUAAUAUUGUUGGAAGUUGACGAUACCUUCAGAAGAAGCACCGGCUAACUCCGUGCCAGCAGCCGCGGUAAUACGGAGGGUGCAAGCGUUAAUCGGAAUUACUGGGCGUAAAGCGCGCGUAGGCGGCUAGAUCAGUCGGGUGUGAAAGCCCCGGGCUUAACCUGGGAACUGCAUCCGAUACUGUCUAGCUUGAGUACAGGAGAGGAGAGUGGAAUUCCACAUGUAGCGGUGAAAUGCGUAGAUAUGUGGAGGAACACCAAUGGCGAAGGCAGCUCUCUGGCCUGAUACUGACGCUGAGGUGCGAAAGCGUGUGGAGCAAACAGGAUUAGAUACCCCCGUAGUC
rnacentral:rRNA from 1 species